AUUGAACGCUGGCGGCAGGCCUAACACAUGCAAGUCGAGCGGAUGACGGGAGCUUGCUCCUUGAUUCAGCGGCGGACGGGUGAGUAAUGCCUAGGAAUCUGCCUGGGAGUGGGGGACAACGUUUCGAAAGGAACGCUAAUACCGCAUACGUCCUACGGGAGAAAGCAGGGGACCUUCGGGCCUUGCGCUAUCAGAUGAGCCUAGGUCGGCUUAGCUAGUAGGUGAGGGAAUGGCUCACCUAGGCGACGAUCCGUAACUGGUCUGAGAGGAUGAACAGUCACAGUGGAACUGAGACACCGUCCAGACUCCUGCGGGAGGCAGCAGUGGGGAAUAUUGGAAAAUGGGCGAAAGCCUGAUCCAGCCAUGCCGCGUGUGUGAAGAAGGUCUUCGGAUUGUAAAGCACUUUAAGUUGGGAGGAAGGGCAGUAAGUUAAUACCUUGCUGUUUUGACGUUACCGACAGAAUAAGCACCGGCUAACUCUGUGCCAGCAGCCGCAGUAA
rnacentral:rRNA from 1 species